rnacentral:rRNA from 1 species
GACGAACGCUGGCGGCGUGCUUUACACAUGCAAGUCGAACGGUGAAGGUGGAGCUUGCUCCGCCGGAUCAGUGGCGAACGGGUGAGUAACACGUGGGCAACCUGCCCCUAACUUUGGGAUAACUACUCGAAAGAGUAGCUAAUACCGGAUACGAAGUCUGUAGGCAUCUACGGAUUUGGAAAGUUUUUCGGUUAGGGCUGGGCCCGCGGCCUAUCAGCUUGUUGGUGAGGUAGUGGCUCACCAAGGCGACGACGGGUAGCCGGCCUGAGAGGGCGACCGGCCACACUGGGACUGAGACACGGCCCAGACUCCUACGGGAGGCAGCAGUGGGGAAUAUUGCGCAAUGGGCGAAAGCCUGACGCAGCAACGCCGCGUGCGGGAUGAAGGCCUUCGGGUUGUAAACCGUUUUCAGCAGGGAAGAAGCGAAAGUGACGGUACCUGCAGAAGAAGCACCGGCUAACUACGUGCCAGCCGCCGCCGUAA